CCCGAUUUAUGCGGCCAGAUAAUUGGCAUAGAUAACUACCUCAAGUCAAAAGACGAAGCUACCGUUCCAAUCAUAUCCCUCGUGAUCCGGCGCGUCAUAUUUCACGGCCAAGAGGCGCUCGUGGCGGUGGCGGUCAUGAAGAUGUACGGCUGCACCAACCACUGGCUGCUCCGGCGUGGCCCGGUGACGAUUUACCUAAUACUAUCUGGCAGUGCGACUACUUAUGGGUAACGGCUCCGCGCGGCGGCGACGGCGACGUCGACUAGCGGUUGUACACGGUCACCGUUCCGGCAAGGUUGCAAUCUUACAGACAUCUAGACAUGGCUGGCAGAUGACUGCUCAGUCAUCGCCGGCGGCGGCAACAACGGCGAGGCUCCACAUCGCCGACCGGUGGCUGCUCCGGCGUUGGCGUGACAGUGACUUCGCCCUUACAUAUUCCAUACUCCGAUGUGUAUAUCAUGUUAUAGAUCUAUACACGCACGUGCACAAGCAUGCACCACAACCAGGCAAAGGGACUACGUGCUAGUGCUCACUUUUUGCUUCAGAGUGUACAUGCAUAGAUAUUUCAUUUUGCUUCAGAGUUUAGUACGUGCAUAGACACUUCGUUUUGCACCGCAGAUCUAUGCACUUUGCUGCCAAGCAAUCUCAUCACAUAUUGUACUUGUACAUGUAGAGGGAACCUAAUGAAUAUACUUCUUUCAGUA